rnacentral:RNase_P_RNA from 1 species
GGAUGAUAGCUGGCUUCGGCUAGAGGAAAGUCCAUGCUCGCACAGGCUGCGAUGCCUGUAGUGAUUGCGCUAGCGGAAUAAAUAACGCUAGGGAUGCGGGAGCGCAUUACGGCGGAUACUAAACCUAAAAAGAAAUUCAUGGUUGAGGUCCUUAAGGUGCCACAGUGACGAAGUUCUAUGGAAACAUAGAAGUGGAACGUUGGUAAACCCCACAAGCGAGAAACCCAAAUAUUGGUAGGGGAAGCGAUAAGAGAGAACUGAAUCUCAAGUUGCAAGCAUAUGCUUAGAUAAAUUAUCAUCCUAGACAAAACAUGGCUUAUAG